GACGAACGCUGGCGGCGUGCUUAACACAUGCAAGUCGAACGGAAAGGCCCUGCUUGCAGGGUACUCGAGUGGCGAACGGGUGAGUAACACGUGGGUGAUCUGCUCUGCACUUCGGGAUAAGCCUGGGAAACUGGGUCUACUACCGGAUAGGAGCCAUUUUUAGUGUGAUGGUUGGAAAGUUUUUUCGGUGUAGGAUGAGCUCGCGGCCUAUCAGCUUGUUGGUGGGGUAAUGGCCUACCAAGGCGGCGACGGGUAGCCGGCCUGAGAGGGUGGCCGGCCACGGUGGGACUGAGAUACGGCCCAGACCCCUACGGGAGGGAGCGGGAGGGAAGAUUGAACAAUGGGCGCGAGCCUGAUGCAGAGACGCCGCGUGGGGGAUGACGGCCUUCGGGUUGUAAACGCCAUUCGCUAGGGACGAAGCAUUUUGUGACGGUACCUAGAUAAGAAGCACCGGCUAACUACGUG
rnacentral:rRNA from 1 species